UACGUAGGGGGCAAGCGUUGUCCGGAUUUAUUGGGCGUAAAGAGCGUGUAGGCGGCCAUGUAGGUCCGUUGUGAAAACUCGAGGCUCAACCUCGAGACGCCGAUGGAAACCAUGUGGCUAGAGUCCGGAAGAGGAGAGUGGAAUUCCUGGUGUAGCGGUGAAAUGCGCAGAUAUCAGGAGGAACACCAACGGCGAAGGCAGCUCGCUGGGACGGUACUGACGCUAAGGCGCGAAAGCGUGGGGAGCGAACAGG
rnacentral:rRNA from 1 species